rnacentral:lncRNA from 1 species
UCUUCUUCUUUUCCACUUCAAAAAACUCCCCCCUCAUUCCAACAUUGAAGCAAAGUUAUCUCCUGAAACAUAGAAAACCCACUAGAGAGACCAGUGUAGCUUGAAGCAAAACAGAGGAGCUUAGUUACACUACAUUGCUUGCUUAGACAGAGUAAAAGAACACAAGAGCUACAAGUAACACAAAGGAGUUAACUAGAGAGAGAGAGAGAGAUUGGUGUAGGGGGGGUGGGGGGAGUAGUGGGGAGGUGGAGAGUGAUGCGAACAGGGGCUUGCACAAUCCANUUAUCUCCUGAAACAUAGAAAACCCACUAGAGAGAGAGAGAGAGAGAAGUAGAGCUACAAGUAACACAAAGGAGUUAACUAGAGAGAGAGAGAGAGAUUGGUGUAGGGGGGGUGGGGGGAGUAGUGGGGAGGUGGAGAGUGAUGCGAACAGGGGCUUGCACAAUCCAACAGGCCCUCACAGCAGAGGCAGCCACAGUGCUGAAGCUGUCCCUGAACUUAGCAAGGAGGAGAGGCCAUGCACAAGUGACACCUCUCCACGUAGCCGCCACCCUCCUCACCUCCUCUGCCUCUUCUUCUUCUUCCUCCUCCUCUUCCUCUUCUCCAUUUCCUUCCUCCAAUCUACUCAGAAGAGCUUGUCUCAAAUCACACCCCCACCACCCUGCUUCUCACCCUCUCCAGUGCAGAGCCCUCGAGCUCUGCUUCAAUGUCGCACUCAAUAGACUCCCCACAACCCCACCACCCCCCUCCUCCUCCACUUCCUCUUGCUCCUCUACCACCACCACUGCUGCUGCUACUAACUCUCUCAUCCACUCCCACCCAACUCUCUCCAAUGCUCUCAUCGCUGCUCUCAAGAGAGCUCAAGCCCACCAAAGAAGAGGCUGCAUUGAGCUGCAGCAGCAGCAGCAGCAGCAGCAGCUGUCGCCGCAGUCGCCACAGCCGCUCUUGGCCAUCAAAGUGGAGCUCGAGCAGCUCAUCAUCUCCAUCUUGGAUGACCCGAGCGUGAGCAGAGUGAUGAGGGAGGCUGGUUUCUCCAGCACCUCUGUUAAGAGCAACUUCGAAGAACAGAGCUCCUCCUCCUCCUCCUCUGUUUCCCUCACCUCAUCAUCAUCUCCCCCGUUCUACUUUGAUCCCCAGGGAUGUUUCUGGCAAACCCAGUUCCUGAAACCCAGCUCUGAACCAAACAACCCAGCAAACCACCACUAUUUGUCACAGAGUGAGGAUCUGCGGCUGCUUUUGGAGGUGUUGGUGAGGAAGCAGGGGAGGAGGAGGAGGAGGAGUGUGGUGGUGGUGGGGGACUCUGCUCCCACCAAUGAGAGCCUUGUGAGUGAGCUGAUGAGGAGGGUGGAGAGAGGGGAUGUUCCAAAUGAGCUCAAACCCUGCUGCUUCAUCAAGUUCCAACUCUCCUAUCUCCAUUUGAGGCUAAUGAGCAGAGGAGAUGUGGACACAAAGGUGAGUGAGCUCAAGAGGAAGGUGCUUAGCUCCUCAGCUUUAGUAGAGAAGGGGGGGAGUGGUGGUGGUGGAUGUGUGAUCAUAUAUGUUGGGGAUUUGAGGUGGGUGGUUGAUGGUGAAGCAAAGGAUGGGGAGUGGGGUGGAGUGGAGUACAUGGUUGAGGAGGUUGGGAGGAUGCUGGGGGAGGUGAACAAUGGCUCACCCAACAAUGUACCCAGCAACAGGGUGUGGGUGUUGGCCACUUCAUGCUACAGCACAUACAUGAGGUGUCAAAUGAGGAAGCACUCAUUGGAGGCACAGUGGGCCCUACAAGCUGUGAUGGUUCCCUCAGGUGGGCUUGCAUUGAGCCUACAAGCUCCAACAAGGUGAGUCCCCCUCUCUGUUUUUUUAUUUUUAUUUUUAUUUUUUAAGGAGUAUAAUUUUGUCUCUUUUUGACAUAGAUAUGGUGAUUUUUAUUCUGUUGCAAGUGUCACUGUAGUUGUUCUCUUCUCAUGCUUGUUUCACUUGUUGUUCUUAUCAUCUUAUAAGCUACAUUGUUGUGAAAGUAGUGAGUAUAUAUAUAUAUAUAUAUAUACAAAGAGAGGAUGGUCAUUUUCAUUUUCCUCUCUUUGGAAUAAAACCAACCAAAUAUAUAUCAAUUUCCACUAAUGGAAACUCUUAUAUAUAGGAUUGAAGCCCAAUGUGCCUUGUUUUUACUUGCUCCAUUUAUCUUUUCUGAUCAAAAAGGCAAGAAAAAGAAAAAGAAAAACAGAAAACUCAACUCAUAUAAUGACCCAAACAAAUUAAUAAUGAAACUUCCUUGGAUAGUUUUACUUUUCCUUUUUGCUAUAUAACUGAAGAAGAGAACAAAAGAUUAUAUUACUUAAAUUUCUCUCUCUUAUUGUUUCAUUUUUGUACAGUGGUUUGGACUCAAGGGUGACAAAAAUAGCUCAGUAUCCCUUCCAAAUGCUGGAGCCGCAGGCUUUUAGCCCCAGCAAGGAGGAAGAAGAUAAGCUCACCUGCUGUGUUGAAUGCAGCAGCAACUAUGAGAAAGAAGCUUCAUCCUACAGCCCAGAAGCCAAAAGCACUAACUUUGCCUCUACCACUUUGCCUCUUUGGUUGCAACCACUUAACAAGGUAAAAAAAAGAACAAGAAAAAAAGAAGUGAACUUAACUUAUAUUUGUUCUUAUAUUUCAAUAUACUGUUUAGUAACUAAUGUGAUUUAUCUAAAUACAGGAUAACUUGGUUGAAUUGAGGAGGAAAUGGAAUAGAUUAUGUCAGAGAAUCCAUCAUGGUCAAAACAACAGGAUUCAUCCACUCCCUUCUCUGUUUAACCAAGGCCUAACUGGGAAGAGCUUCGCUGCUUAUGCUUCCUCGCAUCCAUGGCGGCGGCUCGGUGACUCGCAGAACAAACAAAACAAGCCAUUUACUGAGCCAUGUUUGCUGAGCUUUGAUAAUACCCAGGAGGUGGGAUUAAGCUCCCUCAAGAAGCCCGAAAACCAGGAAGUGAAAACAGCUUUGGUGUUGGGCACUCCGCUUUUCUCGGAUUCGGCGACUUCGCUUGAGGCGAACAAGAGGGGAGGGAUCGGAGACCUGCGGGAACUGGAGAGGCGAUUGAAGGAGAACAUCUUUUGGCAGUUGGGCGCCGUUAGUUCGAUCGUCGAGGCUCUCGUCGAUUGUGAUGCUGGCGAGAGGAAGGGCACUUGGUUUCUGAUGCGAGGGAACGAUCGCGUCGCCAAGAGAAGGGCGGCGAUGGUGAUCGCGGAGUCCUGGUGCGGAUCGAUCGAUGGUUUAGUUUGCGUAAACGUGAGGGAAUCGGCGAGAAGAGGGAGUUCAUGCUCCGAGAUCCUCUCGGAAGCCCUGAAGAAAGACGAGAAAUGCGUGAUCUUGAUCGAGGGCAUAGAUCGAGCGGAUACCAAUUUCGCGAACUCUUUAGUAGAUGGCCUAAAAAUCGGAUCUUUUGUGGACCCAUUGGGGAGAGAAUUAGCUCUAUCGAAUUCGAUCAUCAUUCUCGCUACUUCUAGCGGCGAAGAACAGGAGAGCAAUGUGCUCGCGAUGAGGAUGUGGGUCGAAGAGCAAUUGCCAGUCGGUGAUCUCAAAAGGAAGGCUCCGACCGAAUUGCCGAACAAAUCCAAGAAACCGAGAAUCGAAAAGAACGGUUUCGAUCUGAACGUUUGCUUCGAGGAGGAGGACGACGACGAGGGAAAUGGCGAGAAGGCGAACGAGGGGGUUAACGAAGAAGAGGAGGACGCCGUCCCGAGCGAUCUCACCCACGAAGGAGGGGAUACUACGAACACCAAUCUCCCGCACGGAAUACUCGAAUCGGUCGCCGCCUCGUUCACCUUCGAAGCAGGGCCCGACUCGUUCCGACUCAUCUCCGACCACAUCGUAUCGAAGCUCAACCAAGCUUUCGACAGGACCGGCGACCGAGCGAAUGGCCUUCAUGUAGAGGAAACAGUGGUGGAGGGGAUGGUAAGAGCUUCUGGGUAUUUCCUGGAGAGUUUGUAUGAGAGGUGGGUGAGAGAGGUUUUUCAAACUGGUUUGGCAACGGUCAAAAAGGGCGGGGAAGGGGGGGUGAGGCUAGGGUUUGAGGGUAAAGAGGUAAAUUCAGGGGAGUUAGGGUUCCAGGGAUCAGUUCUACCCAGUAGGAUUCAUGUGGACUGAACACUAAUCUCGAUCAUCUGUCCCCUGUCACCAUGCAUCAUCCCUUGUAAAAUAUUAGAUUUUCCAAAAAUGCCAUUAUGUACUCUUUUUUUUUCUUAAUCUCUUUGCUUUUUUUCAUUUAUGAUCGUCGUCAUCAUCACCAUCACCAUCACCAUCAUUGUUGUUGUCCUCGCAAUCUCAACCAGAGUCCAACUUGUUUAUGUUAGUGUGGUUUCGAUUGGAUCGUGAUUCGUUCACGGAGUGAAUCAUAAUCAGAGUCGAGCCAAUCUAACCCCGUCAUUAUUAAUAAUAAGUCAAUAUUUACAUGGACAUUUAUUCUUAGGUUAGUGUCCUUAGAUACGUGUUAAGAAGCAUCUAAUAGAGGAUAAAGGUAUAAAAAAGGAGUUUCUGAGAGUAGGAUAUACUUAAAACUGCAUAACUAUUCAAAACAAUAAUUUUUUUAUACCAUAUCAUGAGCUGGUAUUAUCCCCUUGUCAAUGUAUCUAAAUAAUUGUCUAUCUAUUAUUGUUAUUAUUAUUAUUAUCAAAAGUAGCUGGUGUUGUUUUCCUUCUGUUUUUUUUUUUUUUUUUUUUGGUCUGUGGAGAGAGGACAUGAGAGGGGACAAACUCUGGCCAUCUUUUGUUCUCCCUUUUGUUUGGAGGCACUUUGCAUGCACGCUAGAAAAGUCAUUGGAAGAAGGGGGAAUAAAAAAUAACCCAAGAUAAAAAAGAAGAAGACAUGCUCACUUGUAUUCAGAUUGGUGAAAAAAGAAAAGCCUGGGUUGGGUUGGGAUGAGUGACCAAUGAAGCUUUUUGGAGUUAACACCUUUUUUGAGUCCAUUAUUGUACAUAUAUACAUAGCAUUCAUUGUUUUGCUUCAGAGAAGGAGAAGUGUUGGGUUCAUGGGUCCAUGAGAUGGUUUAAGUGACUCCUUGGUUUUAGGAUUCCAAGGAGGAAUCCAACAAAUGGGUAUGAUUGGAAGUUGUUCAAGCUAUUUACUUUUUGGGGUUUCACUUUAGGGGUUUUUAUUUUCUAAUAAUGACACAGGGUGAGAGGUGCUAUCAUAGUCAUAGAACUUCAAAAAUAAAAAGCCUAUAUAUAUCCAUUGUUACUAAAUAAUCAUCUCUUUUCUACUAGCUGGACAAAUUGAAACUUACUUAAUACCAUCUAAAAUCAAACAACUAUGAUUAGCACAUCACAUGGGAGUCUAAUAGGUUCCAUUCUAAAGCCACAUUCAUAAAAGCAUAGUUUGGUAGGAACACACAAGUCCACUACAUAACCCAUAAGAAGAUUUGCCACUCAAAAGAAAAAGGAAAAACUUAAAAAAGUUUAGGAAAGAUAACUAUGUAACUAGGUUUGCUGAGAAUGUAUAUAUACUCUCUUAGGCAAAUCAAACCCAAUAAUAGUUUGCUUAAUCAACUACAAUGAGAAAGUAUUUAAUACAUAAUCCAUAGAAAGACAAAGAGCUUUUGACAUAAGAGGGAGUUGCAGCUCACCCACAAAACCUUUAUAUCUCUCUAUCUUUUUGCUCAUCACACUUGAGCUAACAAAGGAGGUCUUCUAAUGUUGCCAUUAUAAUUCGAUGGAAAAGUAGUAAUCCUCCACCAGUCCAAUAACCAAUGAUCCUUGCGCUUCAUUAUUUUAUUCAUCUAAAAGCAAAAGCUCUUAUAUUCUUUAUCAUUGCUUUGACCCAAGGAGCCAUGUAGAGGAGCAUACACAUGAAUUUAAUAAGGUAUGGUAAAGCAUUCAUGAUGAUAGAUCUUAAGCCCUAAGAAUUUGAACACUCAAAUGUGCUCACUAUCAGCUUUUCUACUCUUUCAAGGGAGUAAGUGGCAAAAAGCUAAAGUUGUUAUCCUGAUCACCAUCAUUACCUAGCCAUUGGCUCUCCUCGUAAACACUGGAACAAUGCCUUUUCUCCUCUACUAAUGAAGUCACCAAAAAAUUUAAUCGACCACUUGUACCUAGGACACUAGCUUUGGAGGUUCAAGUGAUAUCACUAUAUGAAUAUUCUCUGCUUUGUUCUCUACUGCUAGUAUAAUUUGUAAGAACGCUAUUGAGCGAUUAAGUAUGGUAUCCUUUACCCAAGUACUUGUUGUGAAUACUCACGUGAUAGUGCGCCAUCCCUAAUGACCGGUAAAAUAUUCUGAAGACACAUCCACUAAAGAUUAGACUAGGUGAUGUGACCAAUGUACAAGCAACUUGAUCCACUAAGCCUUCAAAGUAGUGGUCAAUCAAUCCGAAAAAUAAGGAAAAGUGGUUCAAUUUUAGCUGCAUUAAAGAACCAGGACUUGGCUAUAUCAACCUAACAAAUAUCUAAACAUUAUUAUAUUUUCAUGAUACUGGUGAUUCAAACAAAUAAACUGAGAAACUGCUGAAGCUGUGCAUAAAAUGGGUGCUUAGAUGCAUUUACAUGUUUCUACAGAGCCAAGGUUGUGACAAGAAAACCAUAGUACUAAGAAAUUAAUACCUAAUUUACAUUUUCUAUAGCACCCAUUAGUUACCAACCUUACAAAAUUUCAUUUUUAAUAUAACAUAAAAUGUGAAAAAAGAAAUGGAAUGCAUAUAUUAAGUUCAUUGUUCUCCUUUGUAGCUUAAAUCUUGACAGGUCUCAAUCAUUGGGCCCUCAACUACUUUAGGAGGCAUAUAUGGAGGACACUGAGUACUUACAAAUUCCUGAAGAUAACCAUUUUCACUAGACUUCUCAUUGUCAUGGACCCCACUUAUAAAGCCCACUAAGAAUACUUAACACAAAACAAUGUGGCCUACCACCUUUAGUGGAAAAAGCAUAGCAAGAAUUUAGACUAAUUUAAGCACCUCUUUUGAGGUAAAAGAUUGGGAGGUGGUAGUGCACACCACCUUUGAGGGGGUUUUGGUAUUUGCCCUAGAUAUGAUAAUGGGCUAAGGACCCCAGAGAGUGAUGGUUUCUUAACCCUCAAACACAUAUGAAAAAGAAUGGGAAAAAGGCAGAGAAAAGCAAGGCACUGUCAUAUGCUUAGCAUAGCUACCACCCAUUGUGUUGAAAUGCCUUUUGGUUUCCCUCCAUGAAUGAGGAUGGUAUCUAAUUCCCUUAUAACACUAAAGAAAUAAACCACUUUUUACAUAUGGGAGGAAAUGUAGUACUUCUAUAUGAGGAUUUAAUGUGAAAAGAGACUUUACCAAUAAUAAUAGAAAGUGCAGUAGUAGUAGUAAUAGUAGUACUACAGGUGGCAAAAGGGCGUAGCACAACGCACAUGGUAAUCACCAUCUUUAGGUAAAGAAAACAAUGCGCUGUACGAUAAGAUUAAAGUAAUUAUGCCUGUAAACACAAUAAUUGAACCGCAAAUCUAAAAGAGAAGGGCUCAAUAAUUCAGGAGAACACCUGAAAAGGAGAAAUGACAGUCCCUUCGUGAAUUUUCAUGGUGUUUUGGUUAAUGAUGCUCGUCCAAAAAUUUUGAGCAUGAUUAAACCUAUGAUUAUGGGAAUACUACUCCUACUAGGUAUAAUGAUAAUGAAGAUGAAUGAUUUGGAUAGUAGCAGUCACAAGAUAUAUCAAUGUAGGAGAUCAUUUUUCUCCUAAUUAACCAGGUAUUGGAAGAUGAAUGACAUGUUCACUAUGGUGCAUUGGGUUCACAUGGGUUCUUCCAAAAUUUGUAUAUCAUAGAACUUUCGUUCUCACAAUUUCCUUGAUAUACAUCUUAAUGUACCAAAGAGCCUUAUUUUCAGAUAUAAUCAAAUAAAAUUACAAGUUGACAUGCAAAACAUAAAAUUUUGUGAAGAAACAUUAAUGCCCUUAAAGAGCUUUUAGCUUCUGUUGCGUUAAACCAACCAGCAACAUUUUCAACCUCCCAUGUUGUUUAUGUUCCGAUAGAACGAUGCACCCUCUUUUUGUCCCAAGAAAAUUUCAUCUUGUCAGAAGUAAAUUGGAGCAAAUAAUUCCAAAAAGGAGAGAGAAGAAGUGGGUCUAUCUUACUACAUUGUAACCUGAUAUUUUUUUUACCUUUUCAAGUGUCAAGUUAAACACUAGUUCCAUAGAAAAGUCCUCCUAAAACAAGUUCCUAGGACAUAAAUGGCUCCCAACACCCCCCCAUCCAAACAACUAAUGUAAAUAAGAGAGGGUGCAUUUUAACCUGUCAGACAACAAAAACACAAAGCUCAUUCUACAACAAACUUCUGCUAGAAAAUUUCCUUCAUUCUAGGAGAGAUUGUAAAAUUGAAAACAGUAAGAUAAUAGUAAGACAGGAAAACUUGAUAAUCCAAUGGAAGUUGUGAAAAUUACCUAACCAUUCAGCUUGCUUCUUUCAUGUUCUACUGCCGAGGUCCUUGUAAAGAUUGGAAGCUUGUGAAAGUUCAGCAAUAACCUGCUAACAUAGUAAGAAUUUAAAAUUGUUCAGUUGCCCUGGGUGACAUAUUUAUUAUUUUAAGAAUCAAGAAUAUACAGUCUAAAAAAACUGACCAAAUACAUAAAUAUAAAUCUUGCUCCCUUUCUUCUCUGCCUGUGUUCCAACGAGUUAACAAAGAAAAAAGGCCCUGAAAUAGUAUGUGAAAACUCAAAAGCACCAUGUUACCUCCAAACGAUAUGCAUUGUGCACAACUUAACUUUUCUCCAUGGCUAUAUGAAAAGUUAUGUUAGAACUAUAUAUAUAUAUAUAUAUAUAUAUAUAUAUAUAAGUAAGAGAAAGGGAAACAAUGAGUGUAAAAGCAAAGGUCAUUGAGCCAGCUCCAGAGAUAGUACAAGAAAAUUCUGAAGCACCAAGGAGUAUCCACUGAUGCAUUACUUCUCAAUGAGAGUAAACUAAAAUUAAACUAAAAUCUGCCCUCUGGCUUGUUAAAGAAUGAAUUAUGAUGCACAUAGAUUACAAGAGAGAAAAGAAAAAAAAAAUUACAAACUAAUGUACAAAGAAUUAAUUGUAUUGAGCUAGUCCCACAACUCAAAUGGCUCAAACUCUAUAGCUGUAUGUUACAGAGGGCAACUUGUAAGGAGCUAACCAGCUAAUACUAAUAUACAAUUCUGGUCUUUAUCAUUUCAAACUUCAACCUCACGAACAUUUAGAGAAUCAAGUUCGAGCAAUUGAUUUACUAGCCUCUCCACCUCCUUUUGUUGGAGAUUCAUAGCUUCGAUUACCAUAGAAUGUGCUGCCUUGCAAACCUGCUCUUCUCUAAAGGCUAAUGUCCAUCUCCCAUCAACCAAAACCUUCAUUUUGGUUUUACCAAAUCCAUUGUACUUUGAGGGAUCCAAGAAAGGUAGGGUUGAGGGGCGUAUGCGUAAAUGCAACCACUUUGGAUGCUCCUCGUCUAUCCUAGGCUGAUUGCAGAAUGACAAAAGAGAAGAAAAUCAGAACCUUGUAAAUUAACAUUUUAUUCACGCUAUCCCAAGCAUCCAUUUUUCCCAAUUGGGUUUGUCAAGACUUGAGAAAAUCAAAGUUGCUGUGCAACAACAUAUAGAAAAAGCAAAACAGAAGAGAAUCAAAUUUAAAAGUAAAAGCAAUAUUAUAAGCAUCGGUUUUUACGUUCCUAAUAGGAGCAAACUCCCUAUUGAUUGUUUGCUCACCAAGUUCCAUCCAAUCAAUGUUAGAACUGCUUCCGCUUGCGCAAUGAAGUGCCUUCAACAAAAUCAUUGAAGGAAACUUUGCCAGUAUAUUCUUUUGGUUUACAGCAAAAACAUGAACAAAAAGCACUUCACUACAUCUCAAUUUGAUAAGGCAUGAUUUACGGUAGAAAAGCUGUGUGUAAAUGAGCUUGAGCCCAACCUAUAGAAAGUGUCCAUGAUGUCAAUCUCAUUCACCUAUUAAAAGUGUCAAUGAUGAGUAAGCUAAAAUGCAAAUUUACCACAGUAGCUACUUUCUUCAGAAAGCCAAAACCCUAAGCAUUAAAAUUAAAAAUAAAAAUAAAAAACAAAUUGCGCAAAUUUUUACAAGCCAGAAGGAAGUUCUACAUUCUUAGUUUAGCAGCUUUACGACUUCUGCAUGUUUUAAAAAAUACCCUACAUCAAACAUUUCUAGUAAGCAAAAGCUACAACAGCUUUCAACUUAUAUCAAACAAUUUUAAAAUUUAUAGCUGACAUAUCGAAGACAACGGACAAUAAUUUUUCAAAAAGUCAAAGCAAAAGAAAGCUCGCAAUUCAAAUAAUUUUUCAGACAAGUCAUAGGAAAAGAAAGCUCGCAAUUCAAUUUUUCUAUAGAAGAUUUGAUAUACAUACAUCUGAGCCGGCCAAGGGGGCUAUGACACGAAUAAUUCCACGUUGCUGCUUGAGGGGUAACUCUUCCACAAGAAGCAGCCAACCAGAUGUUCCCUUAGACAUAGCUAAAAAAGAAAAGUAGCGUUCUUUCCCUCUCUCAAAUGCUAUUCUACAGGGUACAGCAUUAGCUGGAAAAAAGAGCACAAGAAAGCAGGCUGUAAGAUAAAUCCGGCAAUGCAGCCAAAUAUGCCGCUAAUAGAUAGGGCCUCUAACAUGUAUAUCCCUAGAACAUCAUCUAUAAAUAGACAUAUGCAACCCGUACAACCUGAAUUGGCAUAUCUUUUCUUUUCUUUUCAUUUUUUGAUAAAUCCUACCUGAUCUUUAACCUGGAAAAAAUUAACUCAAAACCCCUCAACUUACGUUGGGGAGUCAUCUAAUUCACGGAAGGAAAUAGCUCUCUUAUCAGAAUGUUAUUAUGUAACAACAAGGGUAAAAAUGUCAAAAAAAAAAAGCUUUUGAAGGGCAUAUAUGAAAAUUCAUAUUUUGCAGGAAAAUAUAUCGAAAUCGAAAUGAAUAAAGAGAUGCCAAUCUUCUAGCAUACCCAAAUCAAUUUCAGAGCCAGGUUUCGGUACUAGAACAUCUAAACCAGCAGAUUUUGUUUCAGAACCUCGAGGAGAAAACAUUGGAGAAUUUAUUGUGGGUUGAUCGGCUAAAGUUCCUCCAAGAGAAAAAACUAGCAGUUGACGUUGGAAAACAAAAACCUGGACAAUCAUCACCAAUGAGUCAAAAAAACAAAAACAGCACAAAGAAAAAGUGCAAGUAUAGAAUACUCCCAAAGGGUAUGCUCAUCUAAUGCACAUAUGAUAGUGCAAGGGUACCAUAUUUUCCAAGCCCUAAAGAUAUAUAUCAUGAUAGGCAUUGUUUAUAUGACAUCAUUGCUUUUCGGUGCCAAAGAGGUUUUUUUGUCAUUAUAGCUAACUUGCCUAAUUUCUUUUCUUUUGUUUUCUUCUAUUGAAAGGCUUUCAGACAUGAAACUUCAGGGAAGGUCUAUUACAUGUGAUCUAAAGCAUUACCUGAUGAGAAUGCAUAGGAUCAAAUAACUUAUACAGUUUGUUAAAUGGAAUAAUUCAGUUUACCUUUUGCUAUUUUAAGUUUUUCAGUUUCAUACAUAGACAAGUACAAAAUUAUACGUACAUGUAUAUAGGAACCAAGUAACACUAUUAUAAGCCUGAAAGUAUUACACAAGUGUCAAAUUAAUAAGUAAAGACCUUAAAGUGAUAUGUAAACCAUUUAAUGUGAUGUACAACAUCUAAAGAGCCUCUAUAUAAGAAAUCAUUUAUUUAUUCCUACCAAGUAGCCUAAAAAAUUAUCAGUUUAUAAUUUUUCAAAUGGGUUGCUGUCCGACAAAAACAGAGUGGGUUUCUGAAAUCAACGAUUUUCUUUCAUGUUGCGCUUUUCAAGGUUACAGUCCCAUUACAGAUACACUUAUAUUCAAUGACCUUCAUGUUCAAUUUUAGACAUGUAAAACUCUUAGUACAACCACCUCAGCACCCAGAAGCACAAGAACAAGAAGUAUAAUAAAGUAAUAAUCAGAAUUGCAACCACUAUAACUACUACUAACCUUAACCAUCUCAUGCAUCCUCUCGCCAACAGCUAAAGAAGAUUCACCUGAAGUAUCUGAUAAUAGGGAGAAAAGGUUUUCUAACCAAACAUAUAUAAUUAUGUAAGAAAGUUUGCAGUGAAAAAUAACAAAAUCUAACCUCCAUAGGAACAUGUUUGUAACGGAUAUAGUAUGGAUUUGGGGUCCUUCGGAGGUGAUGAUGCCUCAAUUGCUGAUUCGUGUAUGGAAAAAAUAAUAAUAAAUUAUCAGCCAAAUUCAAUAUAAAAAACACAUCAAUUUUAGUCUCAGAGAGAUUGAUCAAACCUUUCUUGCAAGUCCUCCAUACAUCUUUAAGAGUGACCAAGAGCAAAUCCGACCAGCAUCCUUUGAUUUCCUUUAAAAGAUUAGCAGUAGAAUUCUUGUGCGAAUCCUGUCCGAAAAUGGUUUUCCAUAUCAAAAACAAGCAGAAGAACGUCUGAUCUAACAAUGCACUGUUUCAAGUUGUUAUAAUACAGAACUAAUAUUCAUAUUUCACAGCCUACUGUUUGUUUGCCUUUCCAAGUUUUCCUUGCAUGAAUGAGAACGUUGCAAAAUGAAUGCUAACAUUUUUUUUUAACAAUAUUAGAAACAAAUGAUGAGUUAAAAGUAUAAAAAAAAAAAAAGAAGAAAAUCCAACAAGUAGCAGUAUAUACUAUCACAAACAACUUCUUUACACCUGAGAACCUAAACUAUAACACAUUAUGUAAUGCUCAUUUUCUAAUGCUAGUGUUAAAGGCAUAAAAAAGAGUGUAUCCAGCAUUCGAGAUUUGAUGCUCUAGAAGAGAUCGAUCUGCAGGCAGUUAAAGACCUAGUUUGUUCAGCUAUAACAUUUAGAGUUUUUGCAAGAACUAAGACAGUAGCUUUUUCCUAGAAAUACCAACAUUAAAAACUGUUUAUCGUCUGGAAUUGUCACCCAAUUAGCUACGAGAAACUGACCAAAUUGAUUCUAGUGUUCUUUUGAUUGUCUACUUACCCAGUGAGGCAUCCAAAAAUGUUCUAUAUACUGAAAUUUUUUCGCUACAAAGUGUUUAUCAAUUUUUUUUUCUAAGAUCACAAAAUAUAUUUCAAUUGUCCAUAUUGCAUGUCUGAUGCAUCUGUAAGGAAAUAUCUAUUUUUAACAUCAUCUGAGGUCAUAUAAAUAUAAAAAGAGAAUUUGAUGGCAUCAAAAUCCGGUAUUGCAAUUUCGGUACUAAAAUUGGCUCUCUCUUAAGUAAUCUACAAUAUUGUAACAAAGGCUUUCAAAACAAAAAAAUCAAGAAUAUUUAUGCUUGAUACUUCCUUCGCAAAAUACAGUAAUCAUGUGCAAACAUAAAAGUAAGAUUAAAAAACGAUGUCUUUGAACGUACCUUGAGUCGUUCAAGAUGAACAGCACUAAGUUGUUCCUCGCCAUGAGGCAGCAGCUGCCUCAAAAGCCAACCGCCAACCCAUCGAAUCUCCGCAGAUACAUCAGACCUGCAGAAAAGGCUGACUAACGCAUCAAGCACCUGGAGAACACAACAUAUUCUCAAGUUAGGAAUUGUAACAUUGUCAACUAUAAUCUUGACUUUCUUUGGAUUGAUACACAAAAUUUGCUGUAUCACCAAGCGCUUCCUAAUGUAUGCGCAAAAUACAUGAAUAUUAUGGAACUCUAGCACCAGAGAAUGGGGUAAGUUUUAUAGUGAUUACUACUAAUUUUCUUCAACCAAACUUUCAGCAAGUUGAUCUUCCAGUGCAGCAAAACAAUACAAAGAUUUGGCAUAAAUUCAUGAGGUUCUUCAGCUGAUUUCUGAGAAUCAUAAUCUGUAUGGCUUCUUUUCUCAAAAAAAAAUAAUCUGUAUGGCUUCUAUAUAUCAAACUAUUAAGGAAGAAUAAGAAAGGAGAUAUAUGCAAGGUUAAGGAAAAGAAUCAGAAGGGAGAUAUGCACAAUUAAAAUUCAACCUGAGAACGAUGCACCUCAGGGCUUAUUCGAUGCUCCAUCUGAUGACACAACAGCCCAUAUUCACCCUGCAAAGAAAAAUAAAACAUACUUCUAACUUAAAAAACAAAUGCCUCUAGUAUUAGCGGACAAACUCAGUAUCCUCUAGUAUUAGCAGACAAACUCCGUAUCCAUGGUGACUUAUAGCUUGUGAACAAUGAAACUGAACACGCGCACCAGACUGUUUAUAACAUCAAACAGAAUCCAGCUAAAGAAACAAGAAAAGCAGGAUGACGAAACUGGAAAACUAGUUCUUUUCCAUAUAUCACAUGAGGCAAAUAGGAAGAAAUCCACCCAUAUAGUUAAAAGAUGCGAAGGGUUAUUUGGAAAGGUCGACAAGUCGCUUUUCAUACCUCUAUUUUCUUCAGGUAGCUAUCAAGGUCGCCACAAAUGUCAUCCUUUGUUGCACUUCUCUCAGUGGCAAAUAGCUGUUCUUCAGCUGAAUCUUCACCAACCAAAGCUUGCUGCCAAAACACAACAAAAUCAUUUUCUUAAAUCUCAAUAUAGCAACAGCAGAACACACUUUUCUACAAAGGGGCCAUACCACAUAAAAAAGACACAAUAAUUGAAGAGAUUAGUGCAUGUUCAUGGUGCAUAUAAGUUGAAUUCUUUAGAAAACAAAACAAAGAUUCAUCCUUCCUGCUCUAGAAACAAGGAUUUGUUUCACGCUCGAAAGAUUAUCCAAAAAAAUAAAUGAAGAUGAAAUAUGAAAGGAAGUCCAGACGGAGUGUGUUGUAAUCCACUUAAUUGCGUGAAGACAGCUAGGCAUACCACCAACAUUUUCUGAGACUAACUAUUAUUACUAUCAAAGAGACAUCUAUUCACUACAGCUAUUUUACCCUCCAUUAGUUGGAAUUUUGUUUUACUCAGAUUUGAGUUAACUUUGUACAGGUGAUUUUUGACAAGCACAACCAAAUUUAUUAUUUGAGGCUGAAUUUGCCAUGAUUUAAAUUCCAAGGGACAAAAGAGUAUAUAAAUAAGUUUUAGUCAAUGUAGUUGAUUCAGUUAUGCAUGCAAUUUUAUCUACCCUGUUUGUUGUUUCUCAAGGCACAAUAAUGCACAUUAUCUGUCCUCUUUUUGCUAAUAAAUAUUGCCAAAGUGUUAGGCCUUGUUUGGCUAAUAUUUGUCAUUCUGUUUUCUUUUAUUUUUUUUUAACUUAAACUCAUGAAAUUGAAUUGACCAGCAGAUCAUGGAUUGUUUGCAAUUUAUACAUCUAUGGGGUCUGUUUGGGAAUAAAAAACAAAAACUUAGGCUCUGAUUGCAGGCAAACUGUGUUUACAUCUGAUAAGCAAAUGCAACAGGAAAAAAUUCCAUUUGUUUCCAUAAAUGAUACCAUGUCACACAGAUUGCACUUGUUCAGUGGGUAAGAUAUUAUUUCUGUGGUCCCACCAAAAGACAGAGAAGUAUAUCUUUACAUGCUUUGGCCACAAUUCGUUUUUGCCCGACAGUAUUAAGCAGGCCCUCAAUAACAAACGGGCCCCUAGAAGUAGCUUGUUUUGCAGUUUUUUUAAGAGAUUUGCAUGCUAACCCACAAUAACAAAAAAAAAAAAGAAAAGCCCAUUCACUGGUGAAUUCACUCACAAGUCACAACACAAAUCGCAGUUUGACAAAAAAAAAAAAAAAAAGCUGACCAAACAAGGCCCUAACCUAUGUUUCCGUAAAAUAACAUGGAGGUUAUAGUGCAGUUUCAUGCCUAUUGCAUGAGCACAGGAAAAGUGAUAUAAAAGAAAACUAUCAAAUAAGAAGUUGAUAGUGGUGCAAUGUUCCAAUAUCCAAUACAAACCAGGAACCCAUGAUGCUAGAGAAAUCCAUUUAAUUUAUUGUAACUAACCAAUAAUAUUGCUUGCUAUACAGGCAUUAAGGAAAAAAUUCUUAAGAUAAUUUUGAUCAAUAAUGGCCUAUCAAAAUACAAAACUGAAAGCAUAAGCAUUAUAAUAUCAAUCAAGAGAGUUCAGUUAUGAUAGCAACUUGAUAUUCUAAAAGGAGAAAAUUAGAGAAACUUUAAAGGUAUCCAUAAUAGGCCUAAAAACUAGAGUCAAAAUGUAGAGCCACAAGGGCAUCAGCAAAACUUACAAGCAGGAGCCUUUUGUGCUGCUUUCUUUGAGGAAGAAUUCCAAGUGCAUCUAGCAUCGAUUCAUCGAGUUCUACAAAAACUGAUAUAUACUUCAGUAAUUAACAGAUUUGGCUAGAUAUGCAGUAUGGGCAAAAAAACAAUAAUAAUGUUCCUUGACCUUUUGUCUGCAACAAGGUAGCAAGAAAACUCAAGGAACCUAAUACUUGCAAGUCAUCUCCAGCAGUUAUAUAUGAUAGCAGGACUUCCCUGGAAUACAGAAAUAUGCAUCUUAAUCUAAUCAGUCGGUAAGGCCUUAAUUAUCCACGAAUUUUGCCUUCAAUAAUGGAAAAAAAGGAUUAUAAUUUCUUUGAUCAUUUAACUUGUAGAUGAAUUUGAUGCAUUGACACAUUAAGGUUUUGUUUAACUAUACCAUCUGUUUUCCUCUGUUUUCUUAAACUCAAAUUCUAUGCAACCGAAUGCCCGAGCAAAUGGAUUUGCGCACUAAAGGGAUACUUGAAAGACACAUGAGAAUUGCUUGCAGAAUACAAGACACAGUUCUUUUGGGUCUAAUAGGCACUAAAUCAUCGUUAAGCAGUCUGGAUCCAAAAACUUAUGCAUUUGGAUGGCACUUACAUCAUAGAUUCAUGGUUGAUAAAACCCAAGAGUAAUGCUGGUCUGCUGAUUUUGUUUCUUGAUGAAUUUGUGGGAUCCUAAGAUAUUCAGAAUUUACCCUAUAGCCAUAUCCAUAUUGUAGUGUAUCUGAAGCCCAUAUCCUUAUCUAUGCAACAUCGUCAGUCAAAUAGAAUUGAGUUUAAGAAAUCAAAAAGGGAAAAUGUGGAUUCUGGAGCGUAACCAAACAAGAUCUAAAUUUCUAAGUUUGUUUCCUUUUGUAUUCUAGCAACAAAAAAAAAAAACUACUUGCUGCAUAAUAAAAAUUAUCUUAUCACCUAAGCAUGACUGGUUCACCAAAAUCAUUUUGACAAAAUGAGGAAAGGGGUCACAAUUCAUUCAUGCAUGAAGAAGAACACUUCAAGAGUUUUGCCCUUGCAGGUAUCUCGUUAAGAGAAAUACCUCAAUGAAUGACAUGAACUGCAACCACUUUGAGAAGAAUGAUUGGGUAAACAUGAGGAGCCAGAAGGUUCUAGCACAGAAACUCCUGAAUCGUCUGCUUUCACGUGAGCACCAACAGAACAGCCAUUUGGCCUCGCUUGAAAGUUUGAACCAAACAAUUUUCUUGGACAGAAAAGGGUAGCAGCAAUAGUAUUUGCCAAGUCCUUGCUCUUAAAAAUGUGUAGUAUACAACAAAGCAAGUAUAAGGAAGUAGCGAUGCCUAUGUCUCCACCCUGGAGCAGCAAUAAUCAGAUAAAAAAGGACAGGAGAAGUUGUCCAGAAAAUUAAUUACGGGGAAAAUAAAGGGAAAAAUAUAGAUAAUACCCCCAGUAAUCAAAAUCGACAGAUAAAUCCCUUGGUAAAAUGUAAGCACUUACGCACUUCAACAAUUGGAUUGACUACAGGAUUCUAUAACAAAUUGAGGGUUUUAUCUGUAAUUGUGAUUGCCAAGGGGUAAAGUGCAAAUCACAACAUAUAGGAGCAUUAUGUGCAUUUUUGCAAAACUCAAUAACGCUUACGUUGCUACAUCUGUCCAGCGAAGGCAGAAGCAAUGGAAACACCAAAAACUGCAGUAUAUUGUCAGUUAUUAAUCUUCCAAGAUCUGGUACCCCAGCCGAUAUAACAUCACUAAAAUAGUAUAAGUUAUCUUCAAUCUCUUCCACUGCAGUAAGAAUGGAGGAGGUUGAAUCGGAGGAGUCUGGAUUCCUGCCAAAAAGGUACUAUUGUUAGAAAUGACAAGAUUUAUGGAAGUCGGUAAAAAAUAAAUGACAACUGGAGAGGUAUUUAAGGAUGAGGAAAUUAUCGUUCAGUACAGAUAAGAAUAGAAAAUUGCAAAUCACAGGCACAUGAAAAAUGUAUUACUAGCUGGCUCACCUAAGCUUGGCCUGACUAAUGAGAAAAAAAGAAAAUUAUUAGACCAGAAAGAGGACUGGCCAGCAUUUGGAGUAUUAUAUAUAAUAAAUAAUCCUGUCACAUAUUAAGACAAAAUUCAAAAUAUGUAAUUUAUAGUUUCCCGUGUUCAAUUGAGAAUUAUCAUUCAACUAAGAUGUAAGAAGUUGCCAAAAUGAUUCCAACAAGAGAUAUGGCCAUCAAACCUAGCAAUUUCGGCAGCCAACUUGUCCAAGUUGAUGCACUGCUUUUGAAAAUAUUUGACCAUAUUUGCAAAGAAUUCUGAUAGCGGGACACGUGAAACAUAUUUGUUAACAGAUUCAUCUCCAACUGAAAAGGGAAAAACAAAAAGAAGUGUUAGGACAAGUGACCAUACAUAGAUGAAAAAUAAAGGCAGAAUGGUACAUAAUAACAAGGAAUUGAGACCUUACCAACUUACCGUGAUAGACAUUAAGUGUUAAUGCACGCACAGCAAUUCGAAUCAUAGUUUCCUCAUGAAAAGCAAAUCGUAUGGCUUCAACAUAAAGCGGAAAUGAAACAACAUCCUCCUAUAUGAAGGUUAAAAAAAAGUAUUACAAAAAAAUAAUAAUAACAAAACAUUCAAAUAAAUCAUGACUAGCCAGUUAAAACAUCUUAUGACAUGAAGUUCAUCAAAUGAGUUACAUAUCAAGCUCAUGACUAAGUUUCUUUUUAGAAGAUCAGAUGUUUCGAAGUUUCUUACAAUAAUGAUCAAGUAGCUUAUGUGGACAAAAUAAUGAAGAACAUUUGAGAGCAUUUACAGGUAUUCACAGUGAGAAGCUGAGUGAUGAUGAAAUGAUCUAGCAUCUUAGAACAAGCAAGGUGAACAGAUGAUCUAUCAUCUUACUAAAGCAAAUAAAAUGCAAUGUGUACAGAUUCUGAAUAAUAAAUAACACAUAAAAGGUAGUUUCUUGGUGCUUCAAAGUAUAUUUAUGCAAUACUUGUAGAUAAUCUUAAGAAAAUUUCUUUAACAAUAAUACAUAUUGUCGGAUUGUUGGCUCUAACCAUUAAUCCCAAAAGCUCGAGCUGUUAGAAACACGCAACCAAUUCACUUAAAGCGUACAGAUACAGCGCCCAGGGGGUCUUGAUUGUGACUCGGCCCAAUCAGCCUCACGCCACUUCGGACAUGACUCGGCCCAACCCAGCCUCACGCUAUUUCGAACGCGACUUGGCCCAACAUGGCCUCCCGGCACAGGGCAGAAUACUGGCCUAUUUAAGCCAACACAUAUCUACGUCGCAUUGUAGUGUUAUAUGAUAUGAUCUCCUAGAAUUAUACACUAUCAGAAGGAGAUAUAGAACUUAAGCAGCCAUAUUAUUUAGUUCAAUGAAUGUGAUUCUCUGGAAACAACUGCAAUUUAACAGGCCACUACUAAAUGAAGUCAAUCAUCUCCACAAACUUUUAAAACUACGAGAAAAUUUAGCAUGUGAAAAUAGAGGAUAUUGUGUCAUGUUCAUUAAAGAGUCUGAAUAUAAUCACUCAGCAUUUUGAAUUAUACCUUAUAAAUCUUGCAAUGGCGGGAGAUGCAUGCCUUGGCAUACACACUUAGAGAAUCCAACAUGAAUGCGUAUGAAAUUAUCUAAUAGAUGUAGGAAAAUUCAUGUAAUUCUAAAACAAUACUACUAAUCACUUCAGCAUUCUGAAUCACCAUCUUCAAAGGAAAGGCUGGCCUACCUUUGAAACUCGGACAAGCAAAUAUUAAAAAGUCUCACACUACUGAAAAAAUCAGUAAAUCACAGCAUUAUGGCACACUGCUGAUUAUACACUUCAACAUAAUGAAUGUUGCCAAAGUGCAUAACGAAUACUAUCCAUACAUGUACUUUUAUGCAUAUGGGCACUUAUACAUGAGCAGUAUAAAGAUCAGCUGGUAAUACAUAACCAAAAUAUUGAAAAAGAAAAAUAAGGUAAAGUAAAUCCUCCUAGUAGCACAAUAGGAGAUGAGAUUCAUACUUUUUCUGUCUUCACAAGCAGUGAGAUCGUAUUCUUGUUCAACUUUCCACUUAUUGCCCUUCCAGAUACAAGGGAAAUGGAACAACAUAAACAAUUAAUAACAAAAGUCAAAUAUACUGAAUAGAUAACAUGGUAAAUAGAGGCAAUUACCCACCGUAAAAAAGAUAUGUAGUAUGACAGCAAUUCUUCAUUUCGGAAGUCAAAAGAAUAUGUUAUAAUGUAGUUAAUGUGUUCGUUGCUGAAAAUAUAGUCUGCGAAACACAUGAUGAUUUGAUUAAUUAGACCACGUACUACGAAUGUGGUAUGACACAAAUUCAUUUAACCAUUGCAUAAGGUCAUUUAACCAUCACACCACUUACAAAUCGCAUGUUCGCUUCUCAAAUUCUGGAUCAUAAUGCUCAUAGUCUGUAACAACUGAAGUGCAACUUUGAGUGGUUUGCUAAUCCUUAAUAUACGUGCAAAUUCACCCAUAAUAUGCUUCUCCAUGAAGAACCUAAAAAUAGAUAAGUGUAAUAAGACAAAUAAAACCACCAAUAGCAUUUAGGGAAACAAAACCGCUAAAAUACUCACUCAAAAAAUGAUGGAUCAUGCUGGUCACCAUAUGUCAGCAGCUCCGCAAUCGACCUCAGUGCUUCAAUGACAAAAUCCUUCAUGACCAUCAUUAACAGGUAAAACCUCCAUAAAAAAAUUCAAUUACCGAACUUAUUUCAGAUGAGUAAUUACCUCGUUAACUUCAUUUACAACUUGAAUCUUUUGCAGCUGAUCUGUUAAAUAUCUGCACAAGAUGAGCUUAGAUUAGCAUCACAUAGACAGAAAAAGUACAUAUGAGUGACAAGGUUGCUGGAAGCAAAAAGGUCUUAGCUUGAUGAGCGCUAAAAUAAUUGAGUAAAUCAUAUUCUAGCAAGAAAAGCAUACAAACAAAUCCUCAGCGCUUCGCAUUCAAUUUUGUAAUUAAACUUUUAAUCCCAAGUAAAACAGUAGAAAACAGUUUUCAAGACAAAAAAAGAUUUCCCAACAAAAUGGGCAUUCACUUUUUCUAGCGUUCAGUUCGCAGAAAUAAAGGAAAAGAAUUGUUUUCUGGGAAAUGCCAAUUUGUUUUGAAAGAAAAGAAAAACGAACAUCCAGAAGUAAACCCCCCAUUAAGAAAGUAACCUGUGGUUCUCGUUCUUGUUUUUCCAAGCUUACGUGAAGGGCCAUUUGUCCUACAAUAUGUAAAAAAUAUUUUUCUACUGAAAUUAGCCAGCCAAGCACAUGAUAAACUAUUUUCUGAGCCAAAAACAGUUUCCAUGGCCUUUAUCCAUGAAACUAAACAGAUCUUAAAUGAAAACCCUGUCAUAAUAAAGCCAUACUACUUAUAAUAUUCCUUGGUAAGAUGAUGUUAUCUUUCAUUCACUGCUGGGGUUAUUUUUGUGGUAGAACCUUUUUUCAGGGUUUAAAAACUAGCCACAUCCUCUGCUGAAGGCGUUUUUCAUAGUCUCAACCUAUGCAUCCUAAAUUAACCUAAAUAUGCCUUCUCCGAGUUUACCUUUAUAACAAGACAAAGCUUAACCUCCACAUCUCAAUCUCCAUCAAAUUCAACUCCACGCUUAAGAACAGCAUCUUUCUAUACCCAGAUCUUUAUCGCUUUCUCUCCACAAAACCAACAAUUAAAAUUGAAUGCUUGCAUUGACGUCUAUCAAACUGAUCACCAAAGAUUGAUCUCGAAUUGAAACGCUCACUAUUUUUAAUCAAGAUUUCUUUUUAACCAAUGCCCUUCUAAUCAAGAUGCCUACGCCCAAACGAGAAAAAACCAGCAAAAUUAAAUUGGAUUGGCGUCUAUCGAGUUCAUAGGUUAAGAUUCCAUUUACGUACCAAACACAUACAACAAAUCAAUUUUUUCCUGCUCAUAAAAAACCCUUCUGUAUCAUCCAACACCUCUUCAUCUCGCAAUUUCUACACAAUACCAUAAAAGAUGCAACCGAGAUUAACCAAUUCACCAAAGAAAUAAAGAUUUAGGGCAACAAAUUGCAAUAAACCGCUUCUUGAACCGCAUCUUGCACCGAUCCAAAAACCCUAGAGGGACGAAGGGGAGGGGAAAUCGAACGCACCGUAGCUCGUCGAGGGAGAAGCGAUUCCUGGAUCGCCAGAACGAGAACCACAUGGUGAGGGCGACCACAGCCCCGACGCGACCUCAGACCGCGCCGCCGCCCGCGCCCACGCCCACCACCAUCGCCUCCGCCACCCCCGCCGCCUCCGCCCCCGAUCCAGCGAUCGAGGAUCGCCGGUGCGAUCCCUACGAUCUCCCUCUCUCUCUCUCUCUCUCUCUCUCUCUCUCUCUCUCUACGAUCUCCCUCUCUCCGCUCUCUCUCUCCCCCUCUCCCCGCUCUCUCUCUCCCCCUCUCUCUCUCUCCUCGCCUUUUCGUCGUCGGCGAAACAGAUGAUUGUUUUAUUUAUUUAUUUAUUAAUUUAUAUAAUAAAUAUUAUUUUAUUUUAUUAAUUAAUUUAUUAUAGAGGGACCAGGGUGUGUCCCCGUGUGUGUCAUGUGUGUGUGGGAAAGAAUAAGGAGCACGGAACCGCCGAACCGGAUUGAGCCGGACGGGCCGGUUCGAAAUUAACUUGGUCUAUGCAACUCUGGGUCCGGUUCAACUCGAACCCUCCAGGCCUGAUCCAACCCUUCCAAUGGCCCAAAUAAUUUCAAAAAGCCUAUAAUUAUUUUUUAGGUAAUCUUAAUAAAUACUAAAAAUCAAUUCCUAUGGUAUUUGUCAAUUGUAGAUGAGUAAUGCAAAAAAAAUCCAACAUCCACUCAAUAUAACCACAUAUCAAUACCAAACAUAUAUCGGGACUCAUUUGAUAGUAAGAGUCAUCUAACACUAUUAGACGCUUUCACAAUCACAACUGAUGUUAAUGAAAAUAUUUAUAUCUGGUCCUAUGUGAAGUUGAUGUAUUUGAAGUACGUGUAUACCAUAUAUUACUAUAUUCAUAAAAUAAAAUAAAUUAUAUUAAAAGUAUCCUCUAUUUAAAUGAGGAAUACAUAAAAUAUUUUUUGCAAAAAAAGUUUAAUUUCAUGAAGCAAGUGCAGUAUGCUCCCUAGUGUCACGGCCUUAGUGUUUCUGUUCGCAAAGCCCGUGCGACGCUCGCCUUUUUGCUCGAAGAUGGGCAAGCCUUCAUCCCUGUUGCUAGUCUGGAUCUUCGCGUCCUACGACUAAAUAUACAAAGGGAAUGACAGAAAGAGAAAGGCGGAGGUUCACUCAAAAAACUAAAUACUUCACUAUUUGGAAAAAGAGAAUUACAACCUACAAACACAAUCUCUGGUGUCCUUUGGCCUAAGCCAAACCUCACUAUAGAUAGGCUCCUAUAUACAUUGAAUCUAGUCAUCCACUAACUCUCUCAUUAUAACACAUUAACUCACCCUCAUAAUGAGCCAUAAAUCCAAGAGUCACCCCAUAACUUAUGGGAGUUUCAUAACUUUUGAGUUUCCCAUAGCGGGUUUGGUUCGGGUCUCUUUAAUGACCUGCUCCGCUAGCGAAAUUGGGCCACUGUCAAGGAGAAGUCAGCGAAAACUAUUUUGCUCGUGACAUUCUCCCUACCUAAUGUGCAGACGCCCUCGCCGCGCGCCGAGUCGAUCCCAGUCCGCAUAGCAUUCCGCGCAGUUCGUCUCGCCUUCGCGCGCGAUCGGCACCGUGCCUUGCUCCUAAUGUCUCCAUCUGUCCCCGUACCAGCACCAAGUGUCUUGCCCCUCUGAGCAAGUGCACCAGCGAGCCUGCUGUGCGAAGAGUUCGCCGGAUGUGCAUGUCUUCCGCGACACGCACGCGCACUCUGCCAAGCUGCCGAACGCCUCGAGUGUGCAUGUCCUUCGCGACACGCACGCGUACUCCGCCAAGCUGCAGAACGCCUUUUGGUCCUCGUAGGCUCCUUGGCAAAAUGACUUGCACUUUGCUUGGACGCUGGCCGCUCCAGCACCGCAUAAGACUCGAUAGUCUCGCCGGUGCUCAUGUCCUCCUCCUCGAGGUCCCCAGCCUUCUCGCGCUUCACCUUCUCGCAAAGCUGUAGGGCUGUCAGGGUUGAACUCUCGUUGCACCCUUUUGAGUCCCUUGGAUCGCGGUACUCUCCCCCACCUUUGGCCUCGGUCCUCUUUGGUGUUCACCUCGAUCGCCCUCGGUUCGCUCAAGAAGUGCCUCACUCGUCUUGAGGUCCUCAACCUCCUUGACCUGGGCACUGAUGUACUGAAGCAGCACAUCUCGCACAUCCCGCUCGUCAUUGCGAUGGGCAAGAUUCACCUUGAACUACUCCAGACGAUGGCGGAAUGUUGCCAUAGCUGCAAUAACAUCCUUCUCCAUCAAAUGAAACCCCUCCUCCAACAUCCUGACAUGUUGGGAUAGGUCGGAGUAGCACUCCUCCGCUCUCGCAGCAGAGUCCUCCAACACGCCUACGCGGUCGUCAAGCAAGACGGACUCUCUCGCCAGAGUCUGCGGCUCCUUGCUCUUGCCACGCUUGGUCGCCCUGGGCUCAGGCACAACGUCAACGACGGCAACUUCUGCCAAAGACAUGGUUCCUCCUCGAACUGGCUCUGAUACCAACUAUCACGGCCUUAGCAUUUCUGUUCGCAAAGCCCGUGCGGCGCCCGCCUUCUUGCUCGAAGAUAGGCAAGCCUUCAUCCCUAUUGCUAGUUCGGACCUUCGCGUCCUACGACUAAGUAUGCAAAGGGAAUGACAGAGAGAAAGAGAGGCAGAGGUUCACUCAAAAAACUAAAUACUCCACCACUUAGAAAAAGAGAAUUACAACCUACAAACACAAUUUCUCGUGUCCUUUGGCCUAAGCCAAACCUCACUAUAGAUAGGCUCCUGGAUACAUUGAAUUUAGCCAUCCACUAAUUCUCUCAUUAUAACACAUUAACUCACCCUCAUAAUGAGCCAUAAGUCCAAGAGUCAUCCCAUAACUCAUGGGAGUUUCAUAACCCUUGAGUUUCCCAUAGCGGGUUGAGUUUGGGUCUCUUUAACGAUCCGCUCCACUAGCGAAAUUAGGCCACUGUCAAGGAGAAGUCAGCGAAAAAUAUUUCGCCUGUGACAUUAGGCUCCAAAAUUGCUCCUAAUUGCGUCUCUUUUUUUUUAUUUUCUAGUGAGAUUACGUAAAUCAUGUCUUGCUCGAUUUGGUGCAAAUAUUUUCAACGGAGCUUAGCCGAAUACUUUUUUAUUGUGCAUUUUCACUCUGUCCGGCGUAAUGCAUUUGGCCUACAAUUCCACAAAUAAAUAUGAGUAAACCAGCUAGUUUUUGCUUUUAUAGCAUUUUUUUUUUAUAAAUAAUCAUUUGAAUUUCAACAAUAAAAUAAAGUUAAACGAAGCGGGUAGCGUGCUACUUAUCUCUUAAAAAAAAAAAUUAAAAACUAUCAUAAAAAUACAGUACAUUUGGCUAUUAAAUACACCAUAUAAAAAUUAAGCAGGAAAAAACAGACACGUAACUUAAAAAUAUUUUAAGGCAUAUAAUUACAUAUAUUAUUUAAAAAAUCACGUAUUUAUAUAAGUAUAGUCUUGACAUUCCGUGGGCUUGUUUAUUAAAAAAAAGAAAAAAAAAAGAGAGUAUAUCUUACAGUAUAUCAGCAACAAAUCAACGGUCGUGAUAAUUUCAAAAUGUUACCCAGAAUUUUUCAAUUUAAACGCGUAAAUAUUACCGUUUGUGAGGCUGACACGCGCCUUCAUAAGAGGGCCCCACAUACAUACACACUCCGAGUCACGUGAUCGCCAAAAUAACGUAAAAUUACUUAUAUACCCCUCCGAUCUCAUCAUCUCCUCCUCCGCCCCCUUUCUUUCUAUGAUCACUAGGGUUUCCUCGAACUCUCUUUGUUUCUUCGAAACUUCUCUCUCUCUCUAUCUCUCUCUCUCUCUCUCUCCGUUCCUAGAGUUUCCGCCUCUUCGAUCCAUCGCUAGGGUUUUGGAGCGCCUUUGACCGUGGUCGCCAUGGCGGAGGUCAUCGACAUGCCCGCCGAAACCCUAGAUCGCCGCCGUGACCGCCAGGGGGAGCAGCGGGACAGCCCCGGAGACGGAUCGCCGCUGCCUCCGCCGCCGCCGCCGCUGCCCCCGCCGCCGAGGAAGAGGGAGAGGGACCCGAAGGAGGGGCGCGAUGAGAGGGACGAACGCGGCCCCGGACGCAGGGAGGAUUACAACGACGCUCGGAACCGGUCGCCGCCGCCGCCGCCGCCGCCGCCGAUGGGGCCAUCGCGGGGGGAGAGGGAGCGGGACUAUCGGCGGCGGAGCACCCCAAGCCCGCCGCCCUACGGCUACAGGGAUCGGCGCCACUCCCCUCCGCCACGGCGGUCGCCGCCUUAUAAGCGGUCGAGGAGAGAUGAUGGGGGAUACGACCGGCGCAGGGGUAGUCCGAGAGGAGGUUAUGAUGACAGAAGGUGUGGGAAGAAUCAUUAUUUUCUUUUCGUUGCUCUUACCUUCCCAUAUCAAAUUGUUAAUCCUGGAUGGAAAAGAUGAUUUGGUGUAGAUUUUGAUACUAUAUUUUGGAACAUUAGGUAAAAUACUAUCUUUCAUGAGGUUACUUAUCAAUCUGAUCGUCCGUUUAUAGGUAUGGAUAUGAUUAUGGUGGCAGAGGUGGCUACGGCGAGGAAAGAGGUUAUGGCCGGUACAUGGGUCGGGCAUCAGGUAGUUAUUAUUCCAUUAUAUAUGCGUAUCAUAACAAUGCUUACUGUUGCGGGCACUUUGAAUAUGUGACCGUUGUCCUCAUCAUCAAUCCAUGGCUUGACCUGGCUACAAAUUUGAAUCACUUGUAUUUUGGCGUUUUAUCAAUAGGUCAUCUUUGUGGCCGGAACUUUAUAAUUCCUUAUAGUAAUCAAAGAAAUUCAAAGAUUCUAACAUGAAAGCACGCGAUUAGCAAUAAUUAGCAUCUUAUCUUAACUAAAGGAGAGUUGCUUUUCGCUCAUUGCUAAACUUGUUAAACAGGCAUGCAAGAUCUUCAAGCCGGUAUAUUUAACUGAUAUUGAUGAACGAUUUGAAUUUGCCAGCGGGUCAUGGAAUAUGAAAAUUUGGUUCUAUAGGUUUUCAUAAUUCGUCUUGACUCUACAAUGUGAGGAUUACACUGGCCACUAUCUUUGGAGAGGGUUAAGUUCUUAAAUUGCAAUAUUGGAACAUUUUAUUUGGUGUAAACUUACUACCUUGAAAAAGAUUCUAAUGUGCAUUUUAUUCCUGAAAAGAAUUUGAAUGAAAAUUUUGAUUGUUGGUUAAUAUUCCUAGAGCUGGAUAAAAACAUUGCUGAAAAUUUUGUUUGUGCUAUAAAUAUCUAUCACCAAUGACUUUAGAAAAAUUAGUGGCAAUAAGAUUCCAGGUUAUUUACAACACUAAUGCUUUGUUCUUUGUUGCUAGGCAUGAUGCGUUGUGCUAAGAGCUUUAAACUAAUUAGCAAAAGACAGGACGUUGUUUAGAUUGAAGGGAGUAUUUACAUGUUAAAUGGGAAGUCUUUAGAUUGAUGAUGGAGUUUCUACGCAAUAUUUGGGUGGUUUAAAAUUAUCUGAAUCGUCAAAUAUUUUCUAGUAUUAAAUGUGUAGAUGUGUGACCAAACUAUGUUUUUAUAACUCAACAUUUGUUCGUUCAAAUUAUCUUUACAGUGUUUUUAAAAUGUUUUCAGAUUGGCCUGAGGGCGGACAUGGCGAUUUUGGCGAUGGCCCAGGGCUCGCUCAAAGGUUUGUACAUUGCUGCCCAUAAUCUCAUGCAACUCUUAUCCGCCUGUCUGAUUGUUUCAUAUGAUACAGUGGUCUUAACUUAAUAUUUUCUGCCUUUUUUCCUGGAGUUUUCUAAUGGCUAAAUUAUGUUUAGCAAUAUUUGUUUAGAGACUGAUUCUGUUUGUUUAUUUUAGGAACUUAUGUGAAAUAGAUGAUAUUUCUGAAUGAUGUUGUUAAACCAUUUUUGGUGUAAUUCUCUUGUUUGCCACUAUUAUUGCUCGAUAAAGUUGUUACAAUGCUGCCUGGGCCUCCACUUAUUUGACUCAUUUCCUCCCUGUGCCUCGCUUCUGUGGACUACCUCUUAGAUUUUAUGUGGUCUUAUUGCAAAGGAUGGAAGCUAAAAAUUACAACCUUGCCAAAUUGGUCUUUGGAUCUUAUGUUGACAAAUCAGCAGAUACUUUAAACAACUUUGGCUUGUUCGAGACCCUUCUUAUUAGCUUGUCAUGCCAAUUAUGGUAAUGUUGAACUUAAUCACAAAUAAUAAGAAUAAGAGGAGUAAAAAAAUAUUAGAUAAAUGUGACAAAUCGAGAAAGAUAGAAAGCUAGUCGAUACGCCCUUUAUAAAGUUAUUCUUGACUUUUGAAGUUGCCCAUGAUUUGUGGAACUUUUAGGUUGAAUGAUAUGAGUCUACAAGCAACUUUCGAGUGGCAUAUCUUUUUACUUCGUUUCAAGUAUAUUGUAUUGGUAUAUUUAAAGUCUUCACUUAACGGAAUUAAUAGUUGCAAAGAUGAUACAGAAUUUUAUUUGAUAUCUUUGCCAUCGAUAUCUUCUCCAUUUUAAGUGGCAUAAUUUAUGCUGUGGACAUUUUCCCAUUUUCCAUUUGAACCACUGAUAGUAUUGUGUUGUUUGCAGUUCUUUCUACAAAAAAAUGUAGUCCAAUGCUCUUCCUUUUUUUUUUUUUUUUUCCACUUCCUCUUUCUUUGGAGUUUGCUUAAUUGGUUACCAUGGUUUGUGAUGAUUUUUUUCUUAACCAAUUAGUUUUUUGGUUUGGAAGUACUCUGGACUUCUUCCAUUUUGCCACUAAGACUUUUAAAAUCAGUUAAUGUGUGCUUCGUAUGUUGUGAACUGAAACCCUUUCAGGGAAGGCUUGAUGUCGUAUAAGCAAUUCAUUCAAGAGCUUGAAGAUGACGUUUCUCCAGCUGAAUCCCUACGCAGGUAAAAUGAAGCGGUCUGCAGUUUUAGUAUAUUUUCUACGUGCUUUAUUUUGUAUUGUCUUGAAUAGCAUGACUGUUUUUGCUGUGAGAUAUUUACAUAUAUUCCCCUGCAAAAUCAUCUAUAAUAAUGCAUCUCCCUGCAAAAUCUGAAUUCUCAAAUAUAGCAACCAAACUUCUUGCAUAUAGACCAUCAUACUUUACAAUGAUGCCCCUCUUUAGAGAACAAUGGUUUUAAUGCAAAACCAGCAUUGACUUGAGAUGAGGCAUUUUUCCGUAAGAAGCUGCUUUUUGAGGGGUAUAUAUGUACAUCCAGAUUUUAUAGUGGUAUCCACGUCAAUUGUGUGAUUUUGUAGGUAUGAGGAAUACAAGACGGAGUACAUUACAACUCAGAAACGUGCUUAUUUCGACCUUCAUAAGGAGGAGGAUUGGUACAACUGUUUUUUCUGGCUUUCUUUUCUUUCUGAUUGUUUUAUUUCCCCCUUUCAAAUGGCUUCGAAUUCUUAAAGAAUUAAUUCUGUUUGCUCUUCCUGUAGGCUGAAGGAUAAGUAUCAUCCAACUAACUUAGUGGCUGUUAUUGAAAAGUGAGUAGCUGGCUCACCUGUUUCAAUUGUAGACUAGUAAUUUGGAGAAUUCCCUGGUCAUUUUUCUGUUAUCCAGACCAGGUCACUUUUCUUGACCAAUAACUACCUUUUGUACACAAUAUAUUCAUCUUGACACAUAGUAUGCUUCCUCCUAUAUGUGUUAUUCUAUGCUUGAAUAGUUGAAUGUAUUUGCACCUUAUUCCUUUUAUCUGGUACUUUCGCUGAUUUUUCCUAUUAAUCAUUUUCUCUUAUAGGCGGAACGAACAAGCUAGGUCCACUGCAAAGGAAUUCUUUCUAGAUUUACAGAGUGGAACUCUAGAUCUGUGAGUUUCUUUCUUUUAUUUUCCUCCCAUUAUUCUAAAUCGUAACUGCCAUUCAAUUCUUAUUUUCCCCACUUAUGGCAUGCAGUGGCCCAGGAUUAACUGCCACGUCAGCAUCCAAAUCAGGGAAUGCCAGCGAUGCAAACUCUGAGGAUGAAACAGACUUAAGUAGCAAGAGGAGAAGGCAUGGAAGGGGGGCCACAAAAGACAAUGAUCUACUCUUUUCAGCUCCCAAGGCUCACCCAGUUAGUUCUGACCCUCGACGAAUUCAAAUCGACAUAGAACAAGCUCAAGCACUUGUACGCAAGCUCGAUAGUGAAAAGGGUAUUGAGGAUAACAUUCUAUCAUCUACCGAUCGCGACAAAUCUGAUGGCGACAAAUCACAUAGUGGAUCGAUGGGCCCCCUUAUUAUAAUCCGGGGCUUGACUACCGUGAAGGGUCUUGAAGGUGUCGAGCUCUUGGACACUCUUCUUACUUAUUUGUGGCGUGUCCAUGGUGUUAAUUAUUAUGGCAUGUCUGAGAGCAAUGAAGCCAAAGGCCUUCGACAUGUGAGAGGAGAUAGUAAGACUUCUGACGGGUCUAAUAAUACAAGUGGGGCUGAUUGGGAGAAGAAGCUUGAUUCUUUCUGGCAGGAGAGAAUGAACGGUCGGGAUCCAUUGGAGACUUUGGCAGCAAAGGAUAAGAUUGACGCGGCGGCUGUUGAAGUGCUAGAUCCAUAUGUAAGGAAAAUAAGGGAUGAAAAAUAUGGUUGGAAGUAUGGUUGUGGAGCCAAGGGAUGCACAAAGCUUUUUCAUGCUCCUGAGUUUGUUCAUAAGCAUCUCAGACUGAAGCACCCGGAGCUUGUUAUGGAGCUGACCUCGAAAGUGAGAGAGGAUCUCUAUUUCCAGAAUUAUAUGAAGUAUGUAUUCCUAUUCAUUUCUUUUAAGGUAAAUAUGUAGUGAGGACCCUCAAUGGUAUGCUAUUCUGAAAUAGGCCCCAAAACCUUCACUUUUCCUGAUUGACAAUCCAUCAUCUUUUGCUUGUUUUGCUUUUAGUGCUAUCAGUUGAAUUGGGGAUUCCGUUAAAGUCAAUGGCUUCAUUAGCUAUUAGCCAUCAAAUGUUGAUGGAAUUGAAUCACCAGUAAAUUUUGGGGUUGAUAACAAGAACAUAUUAGAGUUUCUAUAUCGAUAUGUUCUAUAGUUGAUGGGGGUUCUAAUGUACAUUUUUACUAUCUUUUAACCAGAAGAAUUAUAUGAUUUGAGCAUGUUCUCUGAACUGUAAAUGUCUAUUCUUUUCUUUUAUUAUUGCAGCGAUCCGAAUGCGCCUGGCGGAACACCUGUGAUGCAGCAAUCUGGUCCGGUAGGAAUCUUUCUUUUGGCUUGUGUGCAUAUGAUUUUUACCAGUCUGUCCAUUAGAAUGGAAUAUGCAAUGCUGUUGUGCUUGAACUAAGUGGGAAAUUUAUCACUUGUUAGCAUAAAAAGAUUAAGUGAUCCAUCUAUUCUUCGGUACUUUAUUACCUUUUAUACCUGCUUGAUGAUCAUUAUAAUUAUCAACGCAGGAUGUAAUUCGUUUUUGUCUCUGUUUUUCAAGAACUUGAUUACAGAUGUAUCUUGCGGUUUCCAUGGUAUAUGAUUUACUUUUUCCUUUCUUUUUUUUUCUUUUUUCAGGGGUUUCAGAGGGAUAGAAUUAGAAGAAGGGGACCUUUAGAUGGUCGCCUUAGAGAUGAACGGGGCAAUCGCAGAGAUUAUGACAGGGCUGACAGAGAUGGUGAUAGGCAUGAUAGGAUGGAUAACUCCCCGACACGUGAUGCCAAUGGUGGAUCCGAAAGGGAUAAUCCGAAUGAGCCGAUCUUUGAUGCUUAUGGUGGGCCAGGUUUGCGUGGCAAUCCUUUUACUGCGGAUAUUCCACCUCCUGGACUACUGAUGCCUGUGCCUGGUGCUGGGUACUCUCUCUCUCUCUCUCUCUCUCUCUCUCUCUCGCUCUCUCUCUCUCUUCNAGGGCAGAGACUGAGACGAGUCUGUCCUCAUGUCUGUUAGCUGCAGCCACUGAGUUAUUUAUUAGCAUCCGUACUCUCUCGCUCUCUCUCUCUCUUCACACACGCGCGCGUGUGGAGUGAGUCAAGCUAGAAUGCUUUUCAAUGGCACUAGGGUGAUUGGUGUUUCCACUUUUCCAUAUGUUGGAAAUGUUUGGUCAUUCAUGUGCAAACCUGAUGAGCUCCAAUAUAUAUGCACAUCGCAUGAACAUGCAUCUUGAACCUAGCACGUGUGGAUCACAAAGCACAUCUGAUUUGCGAAAAUAAACCUUCCGAUCGAUGCUUCUGCUUUUCGCGCCUUGUAUUGGUUUUUAGAUUUUCUGGGAAUCUUGUGGUGCAUCAGUUGAGUGCAUAUCUUCAGGCUGAUGUGUGUGGAUCUUGAGGUGCAUCACUUGAGUGUGCAUCUUGAGGCUGCCGCAUAUGGAUCUCAAAGCUGAUCUGGUGCGUGAAAAAGCAGAUGCACCGGCCGCAUCCAAGGGCAUUCAUGCUUAGUCCUAUUGAAUCUAUUGAUAGACAUCUUAUUGUCCUUAUGUCUUUUCUUUUUCUUUUCCUUGUAGCCCACUGGGCCCUUUUGUUCCUGCCCCACCUGAAAUGGCAAUGCGGAUGAUGAGGGAUCAAGGUGGUGGACCGAUUUACGAAGGAAAUAGUGGUCCUCGUGGUAGGAAAGGGAGGCUUGGCCCUCCUGUUGGUGCUUCAGCACCACUUCUUGCUGUUCCUCCGGCCUUCCAACACGAUCCUCGCCGUAUACGAAGGUUCUGCUUUUAUAUACACACACACAUACAUAUACCCUAAGUUUUGAUUUCAUUUUGCUAAUCAUUCUUUUGUUCAUUAAUUCUUAAGCAAAUCAUUUCUGUCAUUGUGCUGCUGUCUUGUUUGUACUGUUAAGAAAAUGCCUUUCUUUAGCUUGUAACUGAUGAUCUCUUUUUAUAGUUAAGUUGAAUUAUCUACUGUUUACUGGUACCUUUGGGGUAUCUCCUUGUUUUGCUUGGAGCCCCUAAUUGGGUUUUACAUCUUUGGACCAAAAUUUCUUUUUAUUGACUGUAAUGCCCCUGGGCAACCAUGCUAUGCAUUUUGCAUUAGAGUUGUAGGCCAGAGGCAUUUUGGUUUGACAAAAGAAUAUUUCAGCACAAUUUUGGGGAAAUGAGAACCUGAACCGAAUAUGCAGCAAAUACAAGAAAAUUUGUGACUUCCAAUGCAAAAUGGCCUUCUCUUUGUGACACCUCUGCUUUAUUCCUGUUGCCAUUGCAGCUACCAAGACCUUGACGCCCCCGAGGAUGAAGUCACUGUAAUCGACUACAGGAGCUUAUAGGUGCCCUUUUCUGAUAUUUGAUCAGACUCACGAGCAUGAUCUUUGAAGCAAACCAGAUGGGCGGGCUAAGUUUGCCUUGGGAGCUUACCGACGUGUUUAAAUUGUACAAUAGCUGCUCGGGAAGAGGACUUGUUAUUACUCUUUUAUUCUGUGGCAAGCCAAAAGAGAGGAGACAUUAGACUGUGCCCAUGUUGAGUUGAAUAUAUUGUUUGUACAUCGCAGUUGUGGGUAUAUUUCUUCUGUUUCAUCUUUUGAUUUAUAAUCUAGUGGUUUCAGCGUCAGUUUUAAACCGUUUUAAACCGGAGGGAAAUUGUGAUGCCCUUGGCAUUCAGCGACAUUUGUUUUUGUAGAAGAUGUUUAUCUCAGUUCGGUACAUUACUAUAUAUCUAUUUUGAACCAGUUUAAAUCUAUCAUUUACACCAGCACUGUGUAAAUUGAAUAUUUUUAAGGUGGGGAAGUGGACUUAACUAUUGUUGUUUAGGAGAAAGCUGUUUGGUUAAAUAGUUUAUGCUGAUGCGUGUUCAAGUCCACAGCGGCUUCGGAUACAGCUUCUUUACGUCGAGAAGCAUGGACUAGGUGUUUGGCAAACAGAAAAUGUGUGUGGCAGGUGCAAAUUUGAAAGCUCUGGUUUGAAGGUUUCACUAUAGCUUUUUGCUACAGUGAGAAGCUGCUCUUGAGGGUUUUUAGUGGUAUUGUACUGGAAGUCUGGAAGCUGCUCUGAGGAUUUUGAGUUGGUUUGCACUGCUGCAUUCUGCAGCUCUAGUCAAAAGGUACUGCAGGAACUUUGAGGUGCAGGCUUUAUUUUUCUUGUAAGAUGAAAUUCAACUAUUAGAAUAAGACUUGUUCCAUGGAGAGCUAAGUCCAUGACAUUUUGGUACAUUUGAUGGCUGAAAUGCUUAGCCAAGGGGCCAUUUCUCCUGCAUAUUAUCUUGAAAAGAUAUGUAGUAAUCUGGAGACAAAUUAUGAAUGUUCAAAUUUGUGUUAUCUGCCUGUUUUAUUAUUAUUUUCAUUCACCUGUGAUGUGGUUUCCAUCUACUCUGAAAUAAAUAAAAUAGCAAAUAAAGAUGUAGUACAGCAUGUUCCUAAAGUAAUGCUAUUUAUACAUCCGGAAGUGAUUCUAAAUCUUAUAUAUUUUCAUUUUCUAUUGUCCAACUCUGCACGGAGUUUGAAUGCAGAACCAGCAUUUCUCAAUCAAAAAUAAAUAAAUAAAGUUUCUUUUAUUUUUUUUGGGCUUACUUUAAGUCCAAUCCAAUGUCUAAAACCUGAACUCGGCAUAUUCUACCAAAAGCAUCUUCUGUCAAAACCCUUUCUCCUCCCCCUUCUCUCUCUCUCUCUCUCUCUCUCUCUCCUGUUCUCUUCUUCUUCUUCUUCUUCUUUUUCUCUCACAUCUCCUUUUCAUGGAAGCUACGCCCCUGCUGCGGCGAUCCCUUUAGAUGCUCACGCGGCGCUCGGUGGCGCGGCCCCUUCUCUUCCUCCUCCGCCCUCUCUCCUCCUCCUCCUCCUCCUCCUCUCCUCCACACCCAAACCCUCAACGCCCAUCCUCCUCCUCCGACGAAGAAGAAGAACACGAGAAGCAGCAGCUACAACAACAACAACAACAACAACAACAGCUACACCACCGCCGCAACCUCCUCCUCACCUCCCGUCCCCUCUCCUCCCCACCGGCGCCGCCUCCGUCGGGCAUCGGCCUCGCCCUCGCCCUCGCCCGCCCUUCGUCUUCAUCUGCUCCCCCGGCUCUCCUCUCCUUCGCUCGCAGUUCGUUCCACAUGCCCUCUUUCCUGUUGCCAAUAUCCCCAAUUUAGUUCGUGGAAACGACUUCAAUCAAAAAGACUCGAAAUUUGUUAUUAUCUAGUUUGAUUUAUCGGUUUGUUGUUGGCAGAUUAUUCUCUGCGUGUCGCGAAGGUUAAAAGAGCCGAAUUUGAUGAUGAGACCAGGUGAAUCCUUUGAUUUUUCGCGUUGAUUUUUAAUCUUAAAUCUUAAACUUGGCGGGCAAGCAAGUUAGUGGUUCGGUUAGGAAAUGCAUAAUUUUGCACCUUUUUUUGGUGCUAAUAGGGUACAGUAUCUUAAAUUUGUUUCAUUCAGAUGUUGAAAUAUCGAAAACAUGGUGAAAAAUAGUCAUCUUUUGCUGUGAAAUUUGAGUUUUGGUGAGGUUUCGCGAAUUACAUUGAUUUUUAUCCAUAUUAUUUUUUUUUUCAAUCUUGUAUAUGUGUGUGCGCACGAGCGUAAAGGAACUGUCACGAAGCUGGAGUCUACUGUUAGUAACGAAUAACUUUUGUGGGAAUUUCUCAAGUAUAUUUACACUGCCCAUGGAUGGGAUAAUGUAGUGAACUCGAAAUCCUCUAGUCUAUUGGUUAAUCCCUUAUUUAUUAAGUCCCCUUGCUCCAUUACAGGUUUAGUUGUUGCAUUCAUGUAUGUUUUAUCGCAGCUGUACUUGUUUUUAGCUCUCUUUCUUUGUGAGGUAACUGUAAGUUGAACUGCUUAAUUCAGCCAGCGAGCAGUUAACACGGCACUAUGGUGCAACUUCCUCGUGUUCUCUCUCAAAUUCGGGGUGUGGAUGUCGACUUCUAGUCAUGUUAUGCUAGCUGAACUGGUCCACUCGGUUGCAGAUUUUGCAAACCAGGUACUUGUAGCUAAUGGCAAAACAACUAUGUUUUCUCCUUUUUAGUUUGUGCAUAAUCUAUUCCCUCUUUUCUUCUUGCAUUCAAACUCUGAUGAUUCUUCAUAGUUCAUACUCUACUCUUGUAUUGAGUCUUCAAAUUCUUAUUCACAAUUUUUCUAGCUAUCUUAUUCAGGUCAUAAAUCUAAAGUUUUUGAUAUUUUAGGCCCUUCUAGCAUAUGGUUUGAGUAGCUCAAGGCGUGCUCCAGAUGCUAUGCACCCGUAAGUCUGCUUCGCUGUAUGCUAAAAUCUUCUUGUAGUCAGGUGUUUCGCAAUCAGUAAGUCUGAAGCUUGUGUUGUGGUGGGAAGAGGAAGUGAUCUUUCGAGUUCCAAUGGCAAAAGCUCUAAUUUGAAGCUUUUGCUUUUGUUGUUUCAGGAGGCUUUAAGGAGAUUCUAAUGGAAAAAGCUAUUAAUAGUUGACUGAGUAGCUCUAGCCAAACAACAUUUUUACGAAAGCUCCAGCUGGGCCAAACUGGCCCUAAAGAACUGCUUUUUUUUUUUUUUUUUUUUUUUUUUUUUUUUUUUUUGGGGUUAUAAAUGAGGACUGCUUUCACCGUACAUUCUCAUCUUAUACAAAAGCGUCACAUUAGUUUUUCAAUGCAAAAAUAUAAUCAGAAGGUCAAAGGAAGUACUAUCAACCCUGAGCCAAUAGCCCUGUUUUCUUCUUCUGUUUACAGUUAUGGCUACUCAAAGGAAAGAUUUGUUUGGUCGCUGAUAUCUGCUGUGGGCAUCUUUUGCUUGGGUUCUGGUGCCACAAUCGUGCACGGGUUCCAAAACUUGUGGAACUCUCACGUAAGUAUUCUUAAGUGUGUUGUCCAAUGUUGCUUCUUCGAAGUAUCAAUAUUUCUUCCGAGUCUCUGAAUCUGGAAUUUUUAAUUUUUUUAUUUCCAAACAGCCCCCCGAAAAUAUUCAUUAUGCUGCUUUAGUGAUCGGUGGAUCAUUUCUGCUUGAAGGUACAACUUAAGAUGCUGUACUUUUGUUAUCGGAAGCAAAGUAAACAUAUAUUUAUGACUUUCAUAGGUGCUUCACUGCUUGUUGCUAUCAAUGCUGUGAAGAAAGGUGCCGCUGCAGAAGGAAUGAAAGUGUGGGAUUAUAUUUGGCGUGGUCAUGAUCCAACUUCAGUUGCUGUCAUGACAGAGGUGUAAAACUUAAUAAUUUUUUAUUUCGGGAUAUUAUGUAUACCCCUAUAAAAUUACCUUCUUACGUAUAUACAUCUGCAAAAUCUGCAUUUACAGACAUGCCUUGUGUACAUCAAUGCCCCUCUCUAAAAGAAAUUUUUAUAACACAGAAUGGAAGCCCACAUAAAUGGGUGAUUUCCCACCUUCAAACAAGGUCUUUUUGUAAGAAACUACAGGUUUGAGUGGUAAAUAUGAAAAUUUGGGCCCUACAAGGCAUAUGUGAAACUAAAUGAUUUUUCAGGGAUCUCUCUGUUUAAUCCUCCUUCUAUCAAUCAUUUUAGCAUCUAUUCUACAGGAAAUAAUGUUUUUUUUUUUUUUUUUAAAUAGCUAUUUACCCAUCAUAAUCUAGUAUCUGCUUAUUAAUUCUGUCUGCCUUGCCAUUGUUUGUUGAUGUUGUCUUCGCAUUUGAUCCUUCUGCUGAUUCAUCAUUAUGUAGGAUGGUGCUGCUGUAACUGGCCUCGCUAUUGCGGCGGCAUCAUUAGUGACUGUUCAUACGACUGGAAAUGCUAUAUAUGACCCAAUUGGUUCAAUCAUAGUUGGUAAUUUACUUGGAAUGGUAUGUAGUUUUUAUGCAAAUAUGUCCUUACUAUUUACUCAUUUUUAUUGGCUCGCCUAGUGAACAAUGUUAAAAUUCGCUAUCUAUUGCUACGAGUUCUAUUUAUUUGCUUAAUAAGCUACCAAGUUAAAAUCGUUGGAACCCACUGACUUAUAUUUUGAAAUGGCUAUCCAACCCAACAAUUUGGUCGCUAAGUUGAUUUGGCGCAAAAGAGAAUCACUAUUCUAUUGUUGGGACAAGCUCUUCUAAGAUCUGUUGCGUGCGCAUAUGUUGGCUUUCUUCCAAUGCAAUUUAUCGAUAGUUGAACCAAAUCUUGCAGGUUGCUGUUUUUCUCAUUCAGAGGAACAGGCAUGCUUUAAUUGGUAGAGCCAUUGAUGAUCAUGACAUGGAAAAAGUUCUUCAGUUCUUGAAGUCCGAUCCGGUGAAUUUAAUGGCACAUAAGGAUUUCUAUAGUUCUUGUAAUAUAAUAAGACUUAAUAUAUCUCUUUUCACUUAUUCUGUUUCGGCUUCAGGUCGUAGAUGCUAUUUAUGAUUGCAAAAGUGAAGUGAUUGGGCCAGGAUUCUUUAGAUUCAAAGCUGAGAUAGGUACUAUACUCAGCAUUAUAAUGAACUCAUCCCCAAACCACACAUUAAAACAAUGGUUAUGCUUUUGAUUUCCAGUUCACAGAUAAAUUCGUCAUGUUGAAUUUGUUUCUUACAUCAAAAUUUUGCAGUCUCUUUCAAUAAUCUUUCAAUUUCCUAUAAUCUUGGAACAAAGCUCAUUUUAUGUGCCGAUUGCAACAGAUUUCAAUGGCGUCGUGGUGGUGCAGAAUUAUUUGGAAAGAACAGGCCGAGAAGAAUGGGCGAAACAGGUACUUGCUAGUGCUGCAAAUUCGCAACACUUCUCCUCGUUACCUUGCAGAUUAUGACCCUGGCUUGGUUAGAGGAUACCCUAGUAUUUCUUUUUCUUUCUGAGUAAUCUUUACUUCUACUGAAUUUUACCAGUUUCGAGAGGCCGCAAAGUGCGAAGAUGAUAAAGCUCUACUCAUGGUCAUGGCUAAUUACGGUAUGUAAUUUAUGUGCUUGUUUGUUUAGACCUCCGUAAACAAUAACACUGUUUCGAAAAGUAGAAGUUAGACGUUUAGCAAAUAACUAAAAUGAGCUAUUUAAAGCUUGAAAAGCAAAAGCUCAAAUUUGAGGCUUUUGCUUCCGCUGCAGCGAACGGUGAAGAUGUUUUGCAAUAAAAGCAAUUUAAUUUUAUUCCUUUUUCAGUACAAGAUCUUAUGAGAAUUUUUACUGAAGGUGAGGAUGUAGUCGAAGCUCUCGGAGCCGAGGUGGAUCGGCUCGAAUCGGAGAUUCAAAAAAUCGUCCCCGGAAUUCGACAUGUCGAUAUCGAGGCGCAUAAUCCUGACGGCGUCUUGAAGUAACCCUCAUUAAUCUUUCGGCUUUUUUAUGGUAAUAAUUAAAUACAUGAGCUUUUUUGGUUUUUCUCUUCCUCUUCAUUGAUGGUCCAUUAUUUUUUUCCCGUUUUUUUUUUUUGUGAUUGAAGUGGCUCACCUUUUUAACUUCCUCUGAGAUAUCUGAUGAUUCAUUCGGUGUGCAAAAAGAUUUUCAUUAGAGUAUACAAACUGGGUUAGUCAUGAUGGAAAAGCUGUAGUAAAUGCAAAUUUGGGGUCUCUCUCUCUUUACUACUAAAAAAACAUUCUCAAAUUAUAGCUUGUGUUUUUGUUUUGCUUUAUUUAUUUAGUUAUUUUAUUUGUUUGUUUUCCAUCUCUUUCUCUUCCUUUCGUUUGUUUUCAUUAUUUUCUUUUCUUUGCUGUUUUCUUUGACACAUGCUCUUGAAACCUUACACAGGGAUUGAGGAAACAAAGAAACAAACUUAACUGGCUCCGUCCAGUGUAAUGAAAUCGCUAAUAAUAAAAUCAUAAACGGGAGUUCAAACCUUCAAUCUUAGAAAUUGGUGUGGAGAGAUAAUCUUUUGAGACUAACCAAUAUUAUUAAAUUAGAAAAUGUUUUCUUGUUUUCCAAAAACUGGUUACAAUAAUGAUUCUAUGCAAUUACAAAAUAAAAUCAAACCACUAGUAGUCUAAUGACCUGGUGCCCACCCUAAAAAGUUUUUCGAGUUCUAUAUAUAAUAUAAAUCUUUCAAAAUAUUAAAGAAAAGGUUAUUGUUUAUAUAAAAAGUUUUAGAUUUUCAUGUUCCAAUCUAUUUUAAAAAUAUUUAUAGAUUUAAAUUUUUGUUAAUGAGCUGUUAACAUUUUUCAAAAUAUUAAAGAAAAGGUAAUUGUUUAUAGAAAAAGUUUUAGAUUUUUACGUUCCAAUCUAUUUUAAAAAUAUUUAUAGAGUUAAAUUUUUGUUAAUGAACAGUUAGCAAUAACCGUUAGUUAUAUAAUAUAAAUCUUUCAAAAUAUUAAAAAAAGUAAUUGUUUAUAUAAAAAUAAAUAAAAUGUUUUUAAAAUUUUGAAAGAUAUAUAGGUUGUUAUUAUUAUUCCUUGAAAAGAGAACAAAACUGCGGAGUGCCCUCCACUAAAUUUUACCUUUCUUUUUCUUUUUUUUCUUUUUUUUUUUUUUUUUUUUUUUUUUUUUUNACCCCUUCCUCUUCGUAAAAGUAUAUAUAUAUAUAUAUAGAGAGAGAGAGAGAGAGAGAGAGAGAGAGAGAGAGAGAGAAA